rfam:Picea glauca, whole genome shotgun sequence.
GAUCAUUGUCAUUAUCAUACAAAGUGAACUAUUUUUUCACCUUUUACUAAAGAAUACCGUGUGUUGGACACUCACAAUGGCAUACGCCAAUUUUUGAAAGCUUCCUUCUCUAUAUAUAAU